rnacentral:rRNA from 1 species
UAGGGAAGAACAAGUGCUAGUUGAAUAAGCUGGCACCUUGACGGUACCUAACCAGAAAGCCACGGCUAACUACGUGCCAGCAGCCGCGGUAAUACGUAGGUGGCAAGCGUUAUCCGGAAUUAUUGGGCGUAAAGCGCGCGCAGGUGGUUUCUUAAGUCUGAUGUGAAAGCCCACGGCUCAACCGUGGAGGGUCAUUGGAAACUGGGAGACUUGAGUGCAGAAGAGGAAAGUGGAAUUCCAUGUGUAGCGGUGAAAUGCGUAGAGAUAUGGAGGAACACCAGUGGCGAAGGCGACUUUCUGGUCUGUAACUGACACUGAGGCGCGAAAGCGUGGGGAGCAAACAGGAUUAGAUACCCUGGUAGUCCACGCCGUAAACGAUGAGUGCUAAGUGUUAGAGGGUUUCCGCCCUUUAGUGCUGAAGUUAACGCAUUAAGCACUCCGCCUGGGGAGUACGGCCGCAAGGCUGAAACUCAAAGGAAUUGACGGGGGCCCGCACAAGCGGUGGAGCAUGUGGUUUAAUUUGAAGCAACGCGAAGAACC